GUGUCGGUGGUUGAUGGCGGCGGGGAAACGCCCGGUCACAUUCCGAACCCGGUAGCUAAGCCCGCCCGCGCUGAUGGUACUGCAUCCGGGAGGAUGUGGGAGAGUAGGUUACCGCCGACCU
rnacentral:rRNA from 1 species